GGAUUAGGCAUGCAAGUCGAACGAGGAUACGUCCUUCGGGAUAUAAGCCGAGUGGCGCAAGGGUGAGUAAUGCAUAGAUUACCUGCCUUUAGGAUAAGGACAACUUUGUGAAAACGAAGCUAAUACUUAAUAACACAAAAGGAAAUAAUUUUCAUUUGUCAAAUGGAGGGUAGCAAUAUCUUUCGCCUAAAGAGGGGUUUAUGUCCUAUCAGCUUGUUGGAGGGGUAAUGGCCUACCAAGGCGAAGACGGGUAGCCGGCCUUAGAGGGUGGUCGGCCACACUGGGACUGAGACACUGCCCGGACUUCUACGGAAGGCUGCAGUCGAGAAUCUUUCGCAAUGCCCGAAAGG
rnacentral:rRNA from 1 species